rnacentral:rRNA from 1 species
GACAGAGGGUGCAAACGCUGUUCGGAAUUACUGGGCGUAAAGCGCGUGUAGGCUGCUUGGAAAGUCGGAUGUGAAAGCCCUGGGCUUAACCCAGGAAGUGCAUUCGAAACUUCCAAGCUCGAGUCCUGGAGAGGGUGGCGGAAUUCUCGGUGUAGAGGUGAAAUUCGUAGAUAUCGAGAGGAACACCGGUGGCGAAGGCGGCUACCUGGACAGUGACUGACGCUGAGACGCGAAAGCGUGGGGAGCAAACAGG